GUUUUUACUGCCCAGAGGGAGGUAGGGGUCCAGUUCCAUGUCCUAGAGGAACAUUUGGACCAAGUUUUUGGGCCCAGUCUGUAAAUGACUGCAUCAGCUGCCCACCACAUCACUAUGGACCUAGAGAAGGCUUGAGCAAUUGCCUGCCCUGUCGGGCCCUGGUCACAGCAGCCUCUGCUUGGACAGGACAGCUGUACAUGUCUGCGAGAGGGUCAAGUCUUCCAGGCCAGUGAUGGACAGUGUCCAUGUACUUUGGGAUACACACAGAAAGGAGAAGCCUGUGUGUUGAAGGUCUAUGAGAUCUGCAAGGAUGGAAGAGCACGAAACCAGCAUGGAGAAUGUCUGGACCACAAGCAAUGGAAGCAGCAUUGCUCCCAGCAGGUGUGUCUAUCUCCUGAGCUGUAUGAGGGCUAUGAUGGUUCCCUGGGCCUGUGUGCUUGCAGAGGGCUGUCCAGGCCUGAGCCAGACAGGGUUGAGUGUGUUGGCUGGUGCCGGAGCAACCUGAGUCCAAUUCUGCAGCUGGUUUGCACUGGAAGCCUUUACCUGCUCUACACUGAGUCUAAUCAACAGGUGAGCAUGUCUAGAAGCAUGCUGGAGACCGUCCUCAAACACUGGGACUCCCGUGGGAGCUUAGAAUGCAAUGUGCAGCUCAACUUCUCCAGGCCUGUGUACACAGUUAAAACAGAGGAGGCGGGCUUCUUUGGUCUGCUUAAUGCCGUCCCUGUGGAGGUCAGGAGGUUGAUUCUGGCCCACAGCCAGCAAACUAACAACUACUUUGAGCCCCUAGACAAAGACAGAGGAAACAUCAAAGACAAAGAGGAAGACUGGGACUCUCAUUGGUCCGGUAUAUCAUCAGCGUUUGGUACAUCCGACAUGAGGCCUAGAGGAGUCUUGAACCCAACAGCAUGUCUACAUCCGGGAGACAUUCUUCUUUUUACAGUGACCCAACAGCACUAUCCUCAGUAUGAUGUGUGAGUACAUGCUGACAUGUGAUUCAUCUGCAGCCCAUCCAUUUUCACUGUCCCAGACUGUCACAGAGGGAAUCCUGCUUUUUUCACAGAGACAGCUUGUAUAACACUAAUGAUGCAUUUGACUGGGGACCCUUCAGAUUACUGGCACAGGACCAAGAACUGGCACGAUCUACCCACUCCCUUUUUCCAUAAGUCUCCAUGAGCCUGGGGUGUACGCCUUCAACUCAGCAGCCACAAUUAUAGGCACAUGGUAUUAUGAUCCUACAAAACUCAACGU
rnacentral:lncRNA from 1 species